AAGGUCCUAGCUUAAUUAGAGCGUCUGGGUUGCAUUCAGAAGAUGCAAGUUAAUGUCUUGCGGAUCUUA
rnacentral:tRNA from 1 species